rnacentral:rRNA from 1 species
GACGAACGCUGGCGGCGUGCCUAAUACAUGCAAGUAGAACGCACAGUUUAUACCGUAGCUUGCUACACCAUAGACUGUGAGUUGCGAACGGGUGAGUAACGCGUAGGUAACCUGCCUGGUAGCGGGGGAUAACUAUUGGUAACGAUAGCUAAUACCGCAUAAUAUUGAUUAUUGCAUGAUAAUUGAUUGAAAGAUGCUAUUGCAUCACUACCAGAUGGACCUGGGUUGUAUUAGCUAGUAGGUGGGGUAACGGCCCACCUAGGCGACGAUACAUAGCGGACCUGAGAGGAGGGUGGGGAGAAUUGGAACUGAGACACGGUCAAGACUCCUACGGGAGGCAGCAGUGGGGAAUAUUGGACAAUGGGCGAAAGCCUGAUCCAGCCAUGCCGCGGGUGGGAAGAAGGUCUGCGGAUGGUAAAGCACUUUAAGUUGGGAGGAAGGGCAGUAAGUUAAUACCUUGCUGUUUUGACGUUACCAACAGAAUAAGCACCGGCUAACUUCGUG